rnacentral:rRNA from 1 species
CCUACGGGAGGCAGCAGUGGGGAAUAUUGCACAAUGGGGGGAACCCUGAUGCAGCGACGCCGCGUGGGUGAAGGAGCACCUCGGUGCGUAAAGCUCUAUCGGCAGGGAAGAAAAGCGAACAGGUUCGCCUGGACGGUACCUGACUAAGAAGCCCCGGCUAACUACGUGCCAGCAGCCGCGGUAAUACGUAGGGGGCAAGCGUUAUCCGGAUUCACUGGGUGUAAAGGGAGCGUAGACGGCGGCGCAAGUCUGGAGUGAAAGCCCGGGGCCCAACCCCGGGACUGCUCUGGAAACUGCGGCGCUGGAGUACGGGAGGGGCAGGCGGAAUUCCUGGUGUAGCGGUGAAAUGCGUAGAUAUUAGGAGGAACACCAGUGGCGAAGGCGGCUUACUGGACUGUAACUGACGUUGAGGCUCGAAAGCGUGGGGAGCAAACAGGAUUAGAUACCCCUGUAGUC